rnacentral:rRNA from 1 species
GGAUUCAUUGGGCGUAAAGGGUGCGAAGGCGGCGCGGUAAGUCGGGUGUGAAAUCUCGGAGCUUAACUCCGAAACUGCAUUCGAUACUGCCGUGCUUGAGGACUGGAGAGGAGACUGGAAUUUACGGUGUAGCGGUGAAAUGCGUAGAUAUCGUAAGGAAGACCAGUGGCGAAGGCGGGUCUCUGGACAGUUCCUGACGCUGAGGCACGAAGGUCAGGGGAGCAAACGGGAUUAGAUACCCCGGUAGUCCUGACAGUAAACGGUGCACGUUUGGUGUGGGAGGAUUCGACCCCUUCUGCGCCGGAGCUAACGCGUUAAACGUGCCGCCUGGGGACUACGGUCGCAAGAUUAAAACUCAAAGAAAUUGACGGGGGCCCGCACAAGCGGUGGAGUAUGUGGCUCAAUUCGAUGCAACGCGAAGAACCUUACCAGGCCUUGACAUGCAUCUUUAAGUUGGUGAAAGCCAUUUAGUCCCGAAAGGGACAAUUCGCACAGGUGCUGCAUGGCUGUCGUCAGCACGUGUCGUGAGAUGUUGGGUUAAGUCCCGCAACGAGCGCAACCCCUGUGAAAUGUUGCCGCCGACCCGUGAGGCUCGAGCACUCUGCUCAGACUGCCCCGCUUUAACGGGGAGGAAGGUGGGGACGACGUCAAGUCAGUAUGGCCCUUACGGCCUGGGCUGCACACGUACUACAAUGCCCAGCACAGAACGAUCCGAGACCGCAAGGUGGAGGAAAUCU